GCUGUGACAAGGGAGGCAACUGUAUUCUGGCACUAUGGCCGCUGUUUCGCGUGCCUCCCUGGUUGUGGCGUCGAAAGUCCGUGACUUAGCUGCCACAGUUGGGCAGUUAUUACCAAAAGUCGAUGUUAUUAACAUGGAAUUAGAUGAUGCAGGCUUGGUCCCAGAGAGCAGUCUGCGUCAAAUCAGCGGUGUGGUCCUCUGUGACCCACAGGUGGUUAUGCAACUUGCUGGCCAGAAUGAUCUCCCCUUGAAAUGGGUUCAAUCAACAUGGGCAGGGGUUGAGGGUAUCAUGUCGGUUGUUCGAGAGAAAAAGAUUCAGCCCGAAAUUCCUCUUCUCUCGAACUGGAGACGGCUAUGGUCAGCUUAUAGGGGAGUAUGUAAUGCGGCUCAUGUAAUAGCUCAUGAGAGAAGAUUCAAAGAAAUGUUCAAAGGCAAUGAGUCAAGAAUCUGGGAUCAAAAUACAAGUAUUUCCGGUCUUUGUCAAGUUUGACCAUUGGGGUGCUGGGUCUAGGCCAGAUUGGUACAGAAAUUUCCCGGAUGUGUAAGGCUAUGGGGAUGACUGUAUGGGGGAUGGCCACUGGCCAGAAGAAAACUUGUCCCUACAUUGACGAAUUCAGAUGUACAGAUGACCUCUCUGAUCUGCUGUCUCACUGUGACUACAUCUGCAACAUCCUCCCCAGCACACCACUCACCCGGAACCUUCUGUCUGGAGAGGUCCUUGCGUGUUGUGCCCAGAGG
rnacentral:misc_RNA from 1 species